CCAAAUUUUCUAAGUGGGCUAGCCCGCCAACCCGUUUUCCCGUCAAAAUAUGGGUUGGGUUGAGCCCAAAUACUAAAAGUGG
rnacentral:pre_miRNA from 1 species